AUCGGACAACAUGAAAUCAGGGACUAAAUUCACCAGCAUUCAUGAUCCUCGGACCACCCGCCCCCUACGCACAGCCGAUUUAUAAAUGUUGCAUCUUUCAAUCAGUGUCAAUCCCAAGAAGAACCCUGAUCAGCUCCUGGAAAAAUCAGUGUUCUUGCAGUAUUGUCAGUCAAAUCUCAAGGAAAGGAUCCCAGAAGAGGAACAUUUACAUUAUUUCAGACUUUUUUCUUUCCUGUGUAACAAUGCCUCAAACAGCUAACACAUUUUAUAUAGUAUACAAUACAAUGUGUAUUAAUAACAGUCCAGUUAGAGUGCUGUGUUAUGCAGUAAAAAUACUUAAUUCUU